rnacentral:lncRNA from 1 species
ACAGCUCCUAAUCCCGUCGCCAAUGAUUUGGCCGACAUUUACCUCCAUUGUCUCAUCAAGUAGAAGAUGAGACAAACCCUGUGCAUCGUGAUAUCUGAGAUGUGGGAGCAAGAUUAGAUGUUGGCAUGUGUGAAUGCCAUCCAGUAUCGGGCCAAAGGUAUCAUAUCCAACCUCCUAAUGUUCACCAGCGCCCCGCUAGCGUUAGUCUGAAAAUGCCAUCCAGGGAGACAAACAACCUCCUCAAUUUCAGCUACAUUACCAAACAAACCAGCAUGUGCCACAUACUGGCACUGC